rnacentral:lncRNA from 1 species
GUAGUUGAGAUAAAGAGAGCCUCCGAUGGCUGACCUUUUAUUAUUAGUCAGAGCCCCAAGUACUUGAGCAGAGGGGGCCACCAGGUGCCUGUGGGAACUCCAGGUGCCUUCUUAGCUGUUGGUGCAAUAUUUGCAGCUGUGGAUUCUCCUUCAACUUGUUUGUUCCACUCACUGCCUGAUAUGUCUCGUGUCUGAUUUCCAGCUCUGGAAACUGGAUGGAAGCCAUGGGUGUGGGGGCUGGGGUGGGGGUGGGGUCAAGUCUGGACUUUUAACGACAAAGGAGCAGAUUGCUGCAGGUUCUGGGGAGCCAGGCACAACUCACGUGCAGCUCAGUUUCCCUGGCAAAAUGUACAAACCUUUCAUAAAUCUUAUGAAAGAGAUAAGGGACUCCUUGUGCAUUGACAGCUCCUGUUCCAGCUCUUAAAGUAGUCUAAGAAUGAGAGGAAAAGAACGUGUAUUCAUAGCAGUUGAGAGAUAAAGAUGGGGUUUAGCGAACUGUACAUUUUAAUUAAUUUAAUAAAUAUAUAUUAGCACUGCCAUUUGCAGUAUUUCAUAUGUGUAAGACUCUGUGCUACAUGCUUGACGAAUCAUAACCCAUUUAAUGCUGGCAACAAACCUGCCAGUAAUUGUAAUUCUCUGAUUUACAGAUGAGUGAACUGAAGCCCCUGCCAGGGAUGUGAGCAAAGUCACAUGAUAAGGAGCAAUUUUCAAAGAAUUAAAAACGGUAGCAAAAUGUACUUACAAGAAAAUAUAUUUUCUUUGGCAAAUCCGAAAAUACUUCAGUGUUACAUAUUGCUUCUGCCUCAUCGUGAUGAAAUUCAAUGAUUUCAGCAGUGAAAAAAAAUAAUUUCAGUAUAUUUUCUUAAUGCAAGGAUACUGGAUCUUUUAAAAAAUUAAUAAGCUGAAUUAUUUGAUGACACUUUUUUAUAGGUGGCAGUAGACUCGAUUUCUGAAUAAUCUACCAAGUCUUAAGUGGUUAACAUUGGGGGUUUGUUUUCAUGUACACACCAAAUUCCUUUUCAAAUUCAGAAUCAGAAUAUAACCUAUAUUUUAAACAUAUUUCUGUAUAUAAUUAAGCAAUUUUCAAAUAGAAAAGAGAGCCACGGCAUAAAUAUAAGACAUACUGCAGUGGUUAAUAUUUAAUUGUGGCAUAAUUAAUCAUAGAAGCUCAUAUGAAUCUAAUUUGUGUUCUCCCCCAAAACGCCAUCUUUGAUUUUGACCAGAGGAAAAAAAAAAAAAAAGACAAAAAAUAAUGCAUACAUUGUAUUUAUACUUCUUGUAAACAAGAGCCACUUUCUUUGUUCAUGGGUUCAAAGAGUUUCAUGAAUACCACCUUCAUUCUGAAAAAGAAUCCUGGUUCUUGCCCUCAUUCUAGGGAGAGAAACUAAGAGAAGCCACAUUCCUCUGAGGAUGGGCUUCUCCAUCCAGGAGAGGUAAAGGGGGGAAGCGAUGGGGGUAGAGCGUCUGUUGACCUUGGCUGGUCCUGUUUGACUCACCCCACCCCCCCGACUUUUUAGAGGCCACCUACAGAGGAAGGGGAUGGCUUACAGACAAAGGUGGGGGGAGAGGUGGCACUCCUGUAGUCAUGGAAAGUUAGAUACCUGAGUGUUCAUAGUCAGAUAAGUCCUUCUCUCCUGGGAAGGUCAUCCUUUCUGCCAGGUACCGCCAUCAAUGGAGGAAGGGCAUUUCGAUUGAGGAAAGAGCAUGAAUGAAGUUUGCUGUGGGAAAAGUACGGGUGGAAGUACCCAUGACGGAUGGGGGAGAGUCUGAGAUCUGCUUGGCAGAAUAAAGAGUGCAGUUUGGGGGUCAGUGGGAAAUAAGUUUAAAAGCAGGCCCUGUUCUCAACUGGGUAACAGGGAGCCUUAGUCAGUACUGGAGCUUGAUGAACAAGGAGUUUUGAGAAGAUUAGUGUGAGGAUGAUACACGAAAUCAAAUGGGAGAGCAAGAAAAAGGAGGCAACAAGAUAACUUUAAAAAUUGCAUAAAACUCAUGAUAUCAUAGAAAUUGGAUGAACCCUGGUAAAUGCAAUUAUAAAAUAUACACAUAAGGUAAUAGAUAUAAAAUAAUUAAAAUAAAUAAAAUAUUUGCAGGACUGGGAUACUAUACAGUGAGAGGGGAGUAAAGAAACAUUACAAGGGGGGAGUUCUGUCAUGGCUCAGGAGGUAAUGAAUGACUAGCAACCAAGAGGACGCAGGUUCAAUCCCUGGCCUCGCUCAGUGUGUUAAGGAUCUGGCGUUGCCCCGGGGGUAUGUGGAAGUUCCUGCACCUGGGAUCCAACCUGUGCCACAGUUGUAACCAGAGUCACAGCAGUGACGACGAUGGAUCCUGAACCUGCUGAAUCACCAGGGAAUUCCGGUUUCUGUGUCAUGAGGUGGAGCUCACUGGCAAGCAGCUGAAUAAAAUGAGUAGAGUGGGAAGGGAAUUUUGAAUAUUUUGAAGGGACUUUUAUUUUUGAAUUUGAUAAACUGAAUUAGAGAUACCUGCUGGAAAUUCAAGCGAAGUUUAUUUUUUAGCCUCUCAGACCUUUGAAAAUGAGACUUUCUCAAGGCUCCAGGAGACACAGCAGUCCAUUCAAAAGGGCAGGCAAGCAGGUGGGUCAGGACAGGAGGUGCAGCUAGCAGGGCAGAUGCAGCACACGGGGUGUGCGUGGCGCCCAUAGUUUGGGGUUGGGAAGAGGAGAGAAACCAGAAGGGAACAGGAAGGUUUGUGAUGGAGGAUGAAGGGGAUAGUCCUGGGGGGGGGGGCACCAGCUGCUGGACUACCUCUCACACUGUGUCACACUCUGAGCAGCAGGGUGCAUUGGAGCCAUAGAUGGAGAUGUAAGUCACCUGCCCCAUCUGCCCCCAGGUUACCUCACUCAACAGGUCUCAUCCACUGAGACUCAUGGCUCUGGUCAUGGAGCUCACCUUCCUCUGAGUACUUAAUACACAGCGGCUGGUGUGUUCAUCCAUUCAAAUCCUUCAGAUUCCAUGCACCUCUACAAGCCCUGGAUUCCUGCCCCGUGCAAGAGCCCAUUUAUUUCCUGUCCUCCUAAGCCCAUUAGUACUCCCUUCCAAGGGUAGAAGAUGCGGUUACAAAAUGACAUUGAAGAAUUUCCUACCGGACCAGGUGACAUUUCUUUCAAGGUCCUCUCCCAGCUAUACCAGGAAAAGCAUUAACAAAAGGGAGAUAUUUGGGGAAGGGGGGUUGCCAGCAGUGUCAAAUGACAGGUUGAUGUUUAGGAUUACAGAGAGCUGAGGAUUUGAAAGAGGAGUCUUGCCAGUUUGGGGGUGUAGUUUGGAUAGAACGGUGAGGACAAGGACAAUAUUGUAGAGGAUGUAAAGAGCAUGGUGGUGGCGGAGGCCGUGGGCAAGGAAGGCGUAUUUGAAGAGUCUAGCUCUGAAUGGGGGUGAUGGGAUGGUAGCUG